rnacentral:ribozyme from 1 species
UGCCCAGCAACUUCUAUUCCUACCUCCGCGUGGUACUGGCUGGAAACUACGAGCAACCUUAGGGAAGAUGGGAACCUUGGUCGUAGGUCACAGGGAAUGGG